rnacentral:rRNA from 1 species
CGGCUAACUACGUGCCAGCAGCCGCGGUAAUACGGUAGGUGGCAAGCGUUAUCCGGAUUUAUUGGGCGUAAAGAGAGUGCAGGCGGUUUUCUAAGUCUGAUGUGAAAGCCUUCGGCUUAACCGGAGAAGUGCAUCGGAAACUGGAUAACCUGAGUGCAGAAGAGGGUAGUGGAACUCCAUGUGUAGCGGUGGAAUGCGUAGAUAUAUGGAAGAACACCAGUGGCGAAGGCGGCUACCUGGUCUGCAACUGACGCUGAGACUCGAAAGCAUGGGUAGCGAACAGGAUUAGAUACCCUGGUAG